rnacentral:tRNA from 1 species
CUCUGGGUGGUACAAACGGUUAAUACAUUUGGCUGCUAACCAAAAAGCUGGAGGUUUGAGUUCACCCAGAAA